rnacentral:sRNA from 1 species
AUUUAGCCGCGCCUAGGUUUGCCGGCGCCGGCCCUAGGUCCCGGCAGCGGUGGUGACGGCGGUGCCGGAGGUUGUCCUUGGCAGGUUUUCCUCGGCGCUUUUCCAUGGAGGAGGCGGUGCGAACGGCUUCAGCCCCGAAUGCUCGCAUCUCCCACUGGACGGCGACGAAGGCGGUGGCCGUGCGAGCGCAGGACUGGGCGGCCUGUGUGGGGGUGUGAGCCGCGGUGCCCCAGGCUGCGCCGGCGAGGGGAAGCCGCGCGGCCGGCCGGCCGACUAGGGUGAGGUCGCCACUCCUUCCUUUCAGGCUGGAGCUACUCGGCCAGGGUUUAAGACUUUAAAUGAGAAUAAAGGGUGGUAUUUACGAGGAAAUGAGAGUGAAUAAGUCAUCUCUAACCUCUCCCAGCCUUUUUUUCAUAAGAGAGACCAUAUUAAACUUACAUGCUCUCCCGGCUGUGAUAGACCUUCAGUUACAGAGAGAGGGAGCAGAGUGGGACCAGGUCUGAGAAUAGUGAAGCAACUCAUUCCUUUCAGGACAUUCCCUCUGAUGUCCUAUUUUCAAACUGUUUGAAGACUGCUUCAUUCUGCCUCU